GCACGCAUCCCCAGAUGACAGUUUGAAUCCCCCUCACGCACAAAUGAAGCAAUCUUAUUUGAAUCUUCAAUCCGUGUCUUCCCAUCUCAUCCGAUCUCCGCGCCCCUUAGCCACCUGAGUUCGACUCCCACCUAACGCAAAACCAUUUAUUUUCUUCCAUUUUCAAUGACAAAUUCUUGCCAAAUUUUCGAAACUUCUCCAUUUUUCGUGAUUUUUCCCCAUUUGCUAUAAUCCCCCAAUUUUCUCUACAAAUAUCCCUUUUAACUCCUAAUUUCAUAUAGAAUUCAAUUCAAUUCACUAUUCCCUCUAAAAUUACUCCCAAUUUCUUCCAAAUUCCAAAUUCUCUACCCCAUUCUGUAUUAUUUGGAUCUUCAACAAAUUUUCCGGAAUUAUUGAAGAUGCAAGACUAAUUUCUUGAGGAAGGUCUCCGACGGGUGGUGUCCCAAUUUGGAGAUUGAGUUGUAGAUUCAGAGACGUCAUCGAAAGUAGCAAUCCAGGAUCAAGCGUUGAUCAUUCUCCAUUAUUUUGUAGACCUUCAUUUUGGUAUGUAGUUACACUCUGUUACAUCAUGGGAGUGGUUAGUUGUAUCAAGAGAGAUGCUAAGAACUCGAAUUUUGAAGGAAUUCACAUUAGAUUGAAGUCUUUUUUGUAUGUAAUUCCUAGUUUAAAUUUUGAAUUCUACUUGGAACUCUGGAACUGUUGGGAUGUGUGUGGUGAGACACACUUAUAGUGUGGUAGUAUAUGAAGUUUGGUUUCUUAUGUAUUGAAGUGAAAAUAUUUACCUUUUCAAGUUUGGCUACCUUGUAUUUUAGGGGAGGUGUUGUCGAAUUUUCUCUAGAUGUUUUCUUUUUAUUAUUGGAAAAGGUGUUUUUAUAAAUCUUAUGUUUGAAAAGAAUGUACGAAGGAGCUAGCAAGAGGGAAAGUCUAAAAUAGGGUGUGACAAGCUUAAGCAGAUGGAUCCUUCUGAAUGAACUCCAUAAUGAUAGUGCAUCGAUGCAUCAACUUUACUCCUAUGCAUAAGGGCAAGCAUACACAAGGCAGCAUGCUUGGCUUUACGAUUGAGCAUUGGCAGCUAGAUUACUGGUUCCUCUUUUGUGCUUAAACUUGAAGUUUAAUUUAGUCAAAAAUUCUUGCCACCUUGAUUGUUUAGAGGUCAACUUAAAUGUUAAUUUUCUUCCAAAAUUUUCUUUGGAAUUGGAAUCGGUUGUAGCACCCCUGCUGGUUUGGUUGC